GUUUGACAGUUCUGCUGAUCGAUGUGGUAUCAACUGUGAUUUAAGGUUAUAAAGACGGUCACGUUGAUCAAUGAAAUACAGAUUGCGGAAGAAAUCAGUUACUCUUGUUUAAUGUGGCUUGUUACCUGCAAAUAUCAUUACUAUGGUUCAUACAUCGACGAGGGAAGUUGAAAGAAGGCAGUGGGGGCUGGUCA